rfam:Triticum aestivum genome assembly, contig: Triticum_aestivum_CS42_TGACv1_scaffold_225191_3B
CGCAUACUCCCCCCGUUCGGAAUUACUUGUCUCGGAAAUGGAUGUAUCUAGAAUUAAAAUACGUCUAGAUACAUCCAUUUCUGCGACAAGUAAUUCCGAACGAAGAGAGUACUAG